AACGAACGCUGGCGGCAGGCUUAACACAUGCAAGUCGAACGCCCCGCAAGGGGAGUGGCAGACGGGUGAGUAACGCGUGGGAAUCUACCCAGUUCUACGGAACAACUGAGGGAAACUUCAGCUAAUACCGUAUACGCCCUACGGGGGAAAGAUUUAUCGGAAUUGGAUGAGCCCUCGUUGGAUUAGCUAGUUGGUGAGGUAACGGCUCACCAAGGCGACGAUCUAUAGCUGGGCUGAGAGGAUGAUCAGCCACACUGGGACUGAGACACGGCCCAGACUCCUACGGGACGCAGCAGCGGGGAAUAUUGGACGAUGGGCGCAAGCCUGAUCCAGCCAUGCCGCGUGAGUGAUGAAGGCCUUAGGGUUGUAAAGCUCUUUCAGUGGGGACGAUAAUGACGGUACCCACAGAAGAAGCCCCGGCUAACUUCGUGCCAGCCGCCGCAGUAAAAC
rnacentral:rRNA from 1 species